rnacentral:rRNA from 1 species
UACACAGGUGGGUGAGUGUAAAUGCACUAAGGCGCGCGAGAGAGACCUCUCUAAGGAACUCGGCACAUUAGCCUCGUAACUUCGGGAAAAGAGGUGCUCACUUCGGUGAGCCACAGUAAAUUGCGUUUAGCGACUGUUUAACAAAAACACAGCACUCUGCUAAGUCGUUAAGACGACGUAUAGGGUGUGACACGUGACCAAUGCGGAAAGAUUAAGGCAUUUUGUUAGCCGCAAGGCGAAGCUCGGUGCCAAAGUCCCCGUGAAUGUCGGCCGUAACUAUAACGGUCCUAAGGUAGCGAAAUUCCUUGUCGGGUAAGUUCCGACCUGCACGAAUCGUGUAACGACUGAACGACUGUCUCGGAGAGGAUCUCGGCGAAACUGUAACUGCGGUGAAGAUGCCGCAUGCCCGCAGUAGGACGGAAAGACCCUAUGCACCUUUACUGUAAGCUGGUAUUGUGUUCUGAUUAAUAAUGCGUAGCGUAGGUGGGAGGCUUUGAAGUGAGUGCUUCGGUGCUCAUGGAGCCGCAAUGUGAAACACCACUCUUUGCUAAUUAGGAUUCUAACCUCGAUUCCUGUCAACCAGGCGAGGGACAGUGCUUGCGGGUCAGUUUGACUGGGGCGGUUUCCUCCCAAAGAGUAACGGAGGAGCGCGAAGCUUGGCUCAGCACGGUUGGCAACCGUGCGUCGAGCGUAUGGGUAUAAGCCAGGUUAACUGUGAGACCUACAAGUCGAGCAGAUGCGAAAGCAGGCCCAAAUGAUCCGAUGGUUUAAUGUGGAAUUGCCAUCGCUCAACGGACAAAAGGUACGCUAGGGAUAACAGGCUGAUCGGUUCCAGGAGUUCACAUCGACGAACCGGUUUGGCACCUCGAUGUCGGCUCAUCGCAUCCUGGGGCUGGAGAAGGUCCCAAGGGUCCGGCUGUUCGCCGGUUAAAGCGGUACGCGAGCUGGGUUCAGAACGUCGUGAGACAGUUCGGUCCUUAUCCACUGUGGGCGCAGGAAUCUUGAGGGGUUCAUUCUCUAGUACGAGAGGACCGAGAAUGACGCACUUCUGGUGUGGCAGUUGUUCCAUCAGGGGCAUCGCUGCGUAGCCAUGUGCGGAAGAGAUAAGCGCUGAAAGCAUCUAAGUGCCAAGCUCAUCCCAAGAUAUGGAUUCCCGGACGCAAGUCCCUAAAGACCCCCGGCAGACUACCGGGUUGAUAGGUCAGGCAUGUAAGCGUCGCGAGAUGUUUAGUGGACUGAUACUAAUUGGUCGUGCGGCUUGAUCGC